ACAAAAUAUGGUGCCUGAGAAGAGAAAAUAGCGGUCCCUAAUACUCUGAUGUGUACAGGAGUUAAAAGCCCACUUAAUUUUGCCUAAAAAAAAAUUGAAACAAUCAAACUAUUUUUUUCUAGAACCCCUCUCUCAAAUACCUUUCAUCUCUUCAAAUCCCUAAACCCUAGCUACAGCUCGUCUGCCGGUAAUUAUAACUCUUCUACAGGUAAAAUCACUAGCGUCAGCCUCCAAAAUUCAUCUCCCAGCAUUUCCCUCAUUUACAUUUCUUAUGCUCCAGGUAAUAAACUUCCAGAUCCAGUAGAUCUGUCUAUUUGCUUCAGUGGUAAAAGACCUCUAUAUGAAAGUCAGCUCCUUCUAGCUACAGCUCGUCUAGACAGAACUAAAACUCUACCAAGAGAAAUUCAUCUACUUUACUCUUAAAAUUGAAAGGAAAAUGAUUUACUCGAUGGAUAAACUCAUGGACCUUUGUGUAGCUAAGAACGGUUAUAGUUAAUAGUUUGUUUUGUGUUAAAAUGGUUGUGUAUUUUUCAUUCUGUUGAUAUAGUUAGUUGAAUGGUGAGUGCAAUGAGUUAUGGGACAAAUGAUGUCCUAUUCAAGAUUUGAUUUGUCUAUUUCAGGAAUUAUGAAUUUAUGAGAACUCGAUAUAGAAUCAAGGAAUUGGAGAGAAAAGUUGGGGGCAUUCAAUGAAUUUUGAGCUACGUAGGUCCCUUUAAUUUGGUUUCUUCAAUGAAGUUUCAAUGAUUAGAUGUUUCUUGCUAUUUUUUGUUUUUUGGUUUGUUAGGGUGAUUAUUUUUUACUAGCUACUUUGUUUCUUCAAAUAAGUUCAAUGGGCUUGAGUUUCCAUUAAAAUUAAAAGGGAAGACACUAAUGUUAGUGGGUGAUUCUUUAGGCCGAAAUCCCUUUAAUUAGUCCUUGAUUACUCUAUCUCUGAUGCCAAUGCCCUUCGAGCUCAAAUGCAUAUGUAAAGGAGUGACCCUAUAUAAUCUUGCAAGUUCUUGAUAGGCCUUUUGAUAUCUAUGACAAAUUACAGAAAUAUUUUCGUGAUGUUAACAGGAUUCAUAUUAUGGCUCCAAUUAGUUUAGGAUAGAGGCGUAGUUUCAUUGUUGUUGUUAACUUGGUUUUUUAUUUCGCCGAGUUGUUUUUAACUGCUAAACACCUAGAAUGUUGAUUUGCUUGCGUUUAUGACUGUCAAUGUCUUCUUUCUGAUGGAUCAUUGUGAAGCUUCAUAACUGAUGCAAGUGUUAUUACACUAUAUGGAUUAAGUAAGCUUGCCUUUGGAGGGAUGAGAAGACUUUCAACAUACUACAGGAAUAUUUAUGUUUUCUUGAAAAGGUACAUUUUACUCAUAAGAGGUGCAGGUUUGCCUUCUUUACCUUUUAUACUUCUGAUAGCGUGAUUGUCAAAUUCUAUUCCACAAAGGGAGAGUGCGGGAGAAAGUGUUGCCAAGAUAAAAGUUUACGUGGUAUUAAGGUCAAUAAUGCUGUAAAGAAUAAUCCAGUAUUUACAUGGAGACUCAUGAUACUUUCUUCUACUUAAUUAAUAGUGGAUGACGUUUGUGUGGUAUUGAGAGAUUAAAAUAUAAUUUUGUAAUGUUGGAUAUAUUUGUAUUUCUCUUUUGAGUGAUCUUCUUCAUUCUAAAUUCAUUCUAGUAUCUGCCUCUGCCUUAACAGAAGAAUGAGAAUAUACUAUUAUGUUGUUAUCUUUGUGCUAGCAUUAAUUGCUUACAGAGACUGCUCCUAAUAGUCAUUCUUUAAUUUUUUUUCACGUCAUUGCAGUGAGAUCUAAUUACUAUGCUUAUGAAAUUCCUUUGAGCCUGGCUAAUAUGAACGAAAAUCAUUUAUUUUCUCGUGUCCAGUUUAAAUUUGUGUGUGUACUGAUACAUAUUAUCUUUUCACAAUCUUUACUUUUGCUCUUGAACCAGGUAAAUUCUAACAGUAUAAUGACACCUGCAUAAGAUAUGACACAACUAGUUUGAUGCGGGCAAGCAGAACAACCAUUAGCAUGUCACAGGAGGCUCAAAUGUUAACGUAGCUGUUGAAACUUUGGGAAAUCUAAAAACAUUCGUGCAAUGCAUACAGAGUGUUCAUAAUGGAGACAAUGCUGCAAUGAUUUGACUUAAACUAUAUGGUGCUAAGGUGGAUGUGCAUAUAAACCACUUAGUGCGACGAUAGGAGAAUUUCUUUUUCCGGUGUUUUUUGCAGUUUCUGGAGACUUAGAGCAUACAAAAUGGAGAUGCAAGAUCUGAAGAAUUCAUACAACUUGCCAGUAGAUUAUCAUUUUACUAGGACUGUUAGGAGAAAGCAUAUCUUAUUCUCCAAGGAUGAUACAUAUUUUUGGCGGAGGGGUUCUGUAAAAUGUAGUGACUACAGUGCUACUUUGUUUUUUUUUUGUUUUUUUUUGUAAUUAAUACAAAAUAUAAAUGAAAGCAUGAUAUUAUUUAUAAUUUUGUUUAUACUUUUUGGUUCUCUAUUUAGUAA